GUGCUCGCUUGGGCAGCACAUAUACUAAAAUUGGAACGAUACCGAGAAGAUUAGCAUGGCCCCUGCGCGAGGAUGACACACAAAUUCAUGAAGCGUUGCAUAUUUUU
rnacentral:snRNA from 1 species